rnacentral:rRNA from 1 species
GACGUAGGGCGCGAGCGUUGUCCGGAUUUAUUGGGCGUAAAGAGCUCGUAGGCGGCUUGUUGCGUCGCUGUGAAAACCCGCAGCUUAACUGUGGGCUUGCAGCCGAUACGGGCAGACUAGAGGUAGGUAGGGGAGAAUGGAAUUCCCGGUGUAGCGGUGAAAUGCGCAGAUAUCGGGAGGAACACCGGUGGCGAAGGCGGUUCUCUGGGCCUUACCUGACGCUGAGGAGCGAAAGCGUGGGGAGCGAACAGG